UGUGUGUGUGUGUGUGUGUGUGUGUGUGUGUGUGUGUGUACGUACACACACACACACACACACACUGCAACAAAGCACUCACC